rnacentral:rRNA from 2 species
GAUUGAACCGCAUGGUUCAAUUAUAAAAGGUGGCUUUUAGCUACCACUUACAGAUGGACCCGCGGCGCAUUAGCUAGUUGGUGAGGUAACGGCUCACCAAGGCAACGAUGCGUACCCAACCUGAGAGGGUGAUCGGCCACACUGGGACUGAAACACGGCCCAAACUCCUACGGGAGGCAGCAGUAGGGAAUCUUCCGGCAAUGGACAAAAGUCUGACGGACCACCGCCGCGGGAGUGAUGAAGGUUUUCGGAUCGUAAAACUCUGUUGUUAGGGAAAAACAAGUACCGUUCGAAUAGGGCGGUACCUUGACGGUACCUAACCAAAAAGCCACGGCUAACUACGUGCCAGCAGCCGCGGUAAUACGUAGGUGGCAAGCGUUGUCCGGAAUUAUUGGGCGUAAAGCGCGCGCAGGCGGUUUCUUAAGUCUGAUGUGAAAGCCCCCGGCUCACCCGGGGAGGGUCAUUGGAAACUGGGGAACUUGAGUGCAAAAAAGGAGAGUGGAAUUCCACGUGUAGCGGUGAAAUGCGUAAAGAUGUGGAGGACCACCAGUGGCGAAGGCGACUCUCUGGUCUGUAACUGACGCUGAGGCGCGAAAGCGUGGGGAGCGAACAGGAUUAGAUACCCUGGUAGUCCACGCCGUAAACGAUGAGUGCUAAGUGUUAGAGGGUUUCCGCCCUUUUAGUGCUGCAGCAAACGCAUUAAGCACCUCCGCCUGGGGAGUACGGUCGCAAGACUGAAACUCAAAGGAAUUGACGGGGGGCCCGCACAAGCGG